rnacentral:misc_RNA from 1 species
GAUGAAGAACGCAGCGAAAUGCGAUAAGUAGUGUGAAUUGCAGAAUUCAGUGAAUCAUCGAAUCUUUGAACACACAUUGCGGCCAUAGGUAUUCCUUUGGCCAUGCCUGUUCGAGCGUCAUUUACACCCUCAAGCCUAGCUUGGUGUUGGGCGUCUGUCCCGCCGUUUUCGCGCGCGGACUCGCCUCAAAGUCAUUGGCGGCGGUCGUGCCGGCCCCCUCGCGCAGCACAUUUGCGCUUCUCGGAGGCCCGGCGGAUCCGCGCUCCAGCAAGACCUUUCACGACUUGACCUCGGAUCAGGUAGGGAUACCCGCUGAACUUAAGCAUAUCAAUAAGCGGAGGA